rnacentral:rRNA from 1 species
UAGGGAAUCUUCCGCAAUGGGCGAAAGCCUGACGGAGCAACGCCGCGUGAGUGAUGAAGGUCUUCGGAUCGUAAAACUCUGUUAUUAGGGAAGAACAAAUGUGUAAGUAACUAUGCACGUCUUGACGGUACCUAAUCAGAAAGCCACGGCUAACUACGUGCCAGCAGCCGCGGUAAUACGUAGGUGGCAAGCGUUAUCCGGAAUUAUUGGGCGUAAAGCGCGCGUAGGCGGUUUUUUAAGUCUGCUGUGAAAGCCCACGGCUCAACCGUGGAGGGUCAUUGGAAACUGGAAAACUUGAGUGCAGAAGAGGAAAGUGGAAUUCCAUGUGGAGCGGUGAAAUGCGCAGAGAUAUGGAGGAACACCAGUGGCGAAGGCGGCUUUCUGGUCUGUAACUGACGCUGAUGUGCGAAAGCGUGGGGAUCAAACAGG